GGCCAGUCCCUGGGUCAGUCAAUUUUAGUCUAGCCUGGAGAUUGGCAUGGGCUGGGUGCCAGUCUGUUUCACGGGCUAGAGUGGAUUAAUAGACCCCCAGCUUGGUUUUUUGACUGGGUGCCAGCACAUUGGCCCUCAGGAAAUGCUCUAAUGUGUUAUAGUUUUCUUCUAAGUCCCAAGUUCAACUCAUAUAAUGUUUGAUGAAAAUGAUUAUAACUACACAUUUUGAUAAGUUGAGGGACAAAUGAUAAUGAAUUUUUAGUUGAGAGACCAUUGCUCAAAUUUGUUUAAAGUUGAGAGACAAUUUCUACAAUUUACUUUAAGAAAUAAUAUGAGACACAUGAAUUGAAUUAUUCAAGUGAUGCUUACAAAAGUUUUUUACUUUUACUAUUCGUAAGUCUAAUAUGACAACUAUGAUAAUAAUUAGGUAUUUUCUGGAAAAAACAUAUGAAAUAUAUUUCUUGUUAGAAGUCACCGCUCCUAAACAUAUCCUUUUUAUUGUAAAAACGUUAUCACGUAAUACAAACUCAAUAAAAACUUUCAUGUUAGUAAUAAUUGAACCAAUUCCAUUUUGCACUAUUCAAUAAAUAUUUUUCAAGGCAUUAUUUAUUGAAAUUUACGUUAUCCAAUAUGACUUUUGCAAAGCCUUCACAUUGUUUAAUAUAACUUUCUCAAGGUGACUUAGUUGAUCAUAAUGAUAUAAUUAUCGCAUCAAGUCAUGAAUUUGUUUUUU
rnacentral:lncRNA from 1 species